UAACAUAAACAAAACAAAUAUAAAACGAUUGUCGUUGUAAUGAACGUUUGUAAAGAAAUCGUGUCGAAUAUCGAUGGACGAUGAUCUGUCGCGAUCGCUUGGUAUCUGUCCACGGAGUUGGAUGAACUUUACUUCCGGUCAACGAAUAGAACAUUUUGGUUUCAUUCGUAAAUUAAAAUCCGUUAACCGAUUUUUAUUCGUUGUUCGAAAAUAAAGUUUGCUCGAUCAUCGGGGAUCUUUGGAUCGACCAUGACGCGGUAUUCGCUGAGCGUUGCAUUAACAGCAUGAAAAGAAAGAAGUUAUGGGUACAGUGCAAUAAAUAAACACGAAAUAGAGACCUUUAAUGUGGGAUAUCGUAGUUCGUCGAAAACAAUAGUUCACUGAUUAUACUAUGGAAGAAAAGAACCCCAAGGGCGCAGUUUAGGGAAAAUAUUAAAGUCCAUAAUCUAUAACGUUAGAAGAGUAGACGUAAAAUUUUUAUCUGUCCAUUCAUUUCAUAAUUAAAAUUGUUAUCUUCGUUCAACGAAUAACAUUUUUUUUUAUCUUAUACUCGAAAUUGGUAUCUAGAUAAGAAUUUUAUCCAUCUCCAGGGUUGUGUAAUGAUGAUAAGAACGUUGUAGACCCAAUUAUAUUUUUAAUAUAGUUCCUUCGUUCUUUAUUUAAACUUUGGUACAUUGAAUUUGUUGGAUAAGCGUUCAGCGAACGACGCGUUAACCUUUCGCAAUUUCGUGAUCCAUUGAUCGCGGCACGAUCAACGUCCGAUCUUCUCGUCGCUGUGCUCUCGCGUUGUCGUUCAUCUUCGUAAGUGCGAUACAACGGUAGAUUUCCCGCGACACGCGUCGUCCACGAAUAAAGACGAACAUCCGAGGGACACCUUAGAAAUUGUCAUCGAAGUCUCGAUCACGUAGAUCGAAUCGAAAGGAACGACGAUCGUGGAUCGCGUGUAGUCCGAAAUUCUACUAACUCUGUAUGUAAGCGUAGAUGUUUUUAGUGUGUGCUCGAAGUGUAAUCGAUCUACGAGGCGCUUCCGGAAGUUCCGAGGAACGCUGAGAAGUUCAUUUGUUUGUUUACGGGAGUAAUUGAGUACAGGGUCCACAAAGGAAAGGAACAAAAUAGAGUUUUGGGUUCUCGUAAAAAAAGACUAAAAACGUAAAUUCAUUUAGAUUCUUUGAACUCUCAAAAAAUAUUAAAAAACAUAAAAUAUGUUUCUCUGUUACUUGAAAUAUCGUUUCUAAAUUAAUUCGAACGAGCGAACCUGUACUCGAAUUCGCGCGAACGCCACGAGUCAGUACAAACUCACGCCUGUGGUGUCCACAUCCUCCCCCACUCCUACCACACACCCCCGUCGCGAUCGGAUGCGUGUGUACUUGUGUACGAAGCGAGUUCUUUUAUCCACGCUCGAUGACAGUCCAGUUGCGUUUCGUUCGAUAGAAGACGAGGAACAAGAACGAUUAAAAAAGGAUACCGAAACACAGGAUCGAAACGGAGAAAUAUGCAAACGGUAACCCCGGUGACACCUCGAGCCGAUACGGGAAAGAAGAACGUAAAAAAUGAACUUUCAUCGAACGCGAUUCUGUCCAGCCAUUGCCGACUACUGUUCAACCGUAGAUGUACACACACACACACACACACAGAUAUAAAGAAAAAAAAGAGAAUCUACCUUAGAUAAAGAGAAAACAGAGAGAAUGAUUAUAUGUAUAUAAUAUAUAUAUGCAUACACAUGAUGUACACAGCGCGCGCACGUAAUACGUUCAUGCGCCAUUUUGCACAGCCGAUGCUACGCGAAAGGACGAGGAUCGUCAGAGCCGUAGGGAUUAUUUUCACCGGUGUAGUUUUAGUUUUAUAUAUCCCACGGAAGAUCGAUAGACUUUAGUGAGAUCUCCCGAGCAAAAAUAUCGCGUAGGUUCGAUUUACUUGUCCAAGUGACCCAUCUCUUUCAAGAUGUAUACCACGUAUCUCGAGAUAACCUGUAAAGUUACGAGGAGCAAAAGGAAACUACAAUCAACACACAGUUCAAGGUCUGGUUAAGUUAACCAUUUCCCGGGUAUCCGAGUCCUCGCCUGCCGUUCACCGAGUGUUUCUCAACCACCCACGGAUCACUCGUUGUGUCUGCGGAACACGAAUACAAUCAACAGGCGUGGAUAGUGAUCGCAUUGCGUGUGUGUUCGUGUGGAUGCAUGGAUGGGCGUAUUUUUUGUUUUUCCUGUGUGUAUGUAAGUACGUGAAAAGAAAUUCCAAUGAGUUUCGUCGAUCGUUAUAUUAAGCAUUAAUCGUCGAUAAGGUUAAUACUUAGAGAAAACCGAGUGGUAUUUUAAUAUGAUCGUAAGGGGCUACCGAUUAACUUCGUCAUAGUCGAUCGUCUACGUUACUGUGAACGUUUCAUAAUAUGGUUGUCGCGUGCUCGAACCAGCUUCGUUGGCGAGUCAGCAAUAUCAUUCGGAUUCCGCGUACCCCGUGCAUUUUGCAAAUCUGCCACGAUAGACGUUCCGCUGUGUUCGCAUUAUUUCUGGAUAUUCACCGUGUCGCGCCGUGGAAAAUAUCGGAAACGUUUCGUAUACGUCGUGACUGCCCCGCACAGAUCCGAAUAAUAUUUGCGGUCCUAAUUCGCGUUGUCGUCUAGUCGUGCGUGCGAUUUACACGUCGUACACGUAUGCACGGUUCUCUCUCCUUCGUCCCUCUGCCGACGCGCGGAAAAACCUAGCGAAUUUUGUAAAUUAGCGACAAAUUCGGGACUCGCCGUGUCACGCUUGCGUGGUAACGAAUACAAAAAGCAGAUGAAAUUAUGAACA